rnacentral:lncRNA from 1 species
CUGCAGGCCAGCAUGUAAAACCCGGUGUUGUCUUCCUGAAAUCGCAACACCCCUGAAAUGGCAUUUGUUACUCUAAACAAAUGCCUUUUCAGGGCAUUUGCUGCUGUAAAAUCUCAGCAUUGAUGGAAUCUUCUUGGAUUAUGGACUUACCAAUACCAUCAUGGUGGUCCCCUCUCUCUCUUUUUCUUUUUUUUUCUAGCAGAGGAGGUGGUGUCCAUGAUUUCAAAAAAGAAUUUCAAGUUUUGACUCAUGGGACCACACAACAGUUUCCCCACUUUGCCUCAGUCUAUUUUAAACAUGCCCGAAGGUGUCACCAGCUUUUUCUGAAUCAUAUAUCGUUUCUUCUUUGCAUGGCACAGUUUAAACUUGCAUUUGUGAAUGCAUGACAAACUUAGCUCAUUUUCAAGUUUUUUUUUUCUUAAUUUUGAGCACAUGCAGUGAUCUCCACUACAGAGUCAUAUCUGUUUUUCUAUGCAGGGCCAGCUGAGUGCCGGAAAAUGAUGGCCUCUAUUGAGUCUUCUAAUUGUGUAUAUUGUAUUGUAUUAUAUUGUAGGUCCCUGAAUUCUUUAAAACUCGACACCAAGAGAAUGUGAUUUAGAAAUUACUGAAUGAUUUACUCAUGAGGUUUCUCACAGAUUAGAUAGAUGGAUAGAUAGAUAGAUAUACUUUAUUGAUCCCAAACUGGGAAAUUCACAUGUUACAGCAGCAAAAAAAUAAAAUUUAAUAUUAGAAGAAGUAAUACAAUGCAGACUGACGAUUGACGAACCUCUUGUCAUAUUUACAUGUAAAUAAGUUGGCUCUGAAAUGUCCUUUUAUACCCGGUCAUGUGACAAACCUGUCAACAAUUAAUCUCUUUGGUCAGGAGUCAGAUGUCUUUUAAGCAUUACACAACGUCUUGGUGCUUAUUGUCCUUGUUCCCACAGUUUUAAAAUGUGUUGCUUGCAUAUCUUUUUUUAUAGAUAGAUAGAUAGAUAGAGUGUGUGCUUCCUGUUAAACUCACCACUUUGCAUUUUAUUGCCUCUGGGAAAAAAACGAUUAAAGAGUAAAGAUCCGGGAUGAAGGAGGCAAUUAAAAUCCCAGAGGACAGCAUUUCAUCCCUUCAUUAAGAAUGAUCAGUAGGAGUGGUGUAAUUGACUCAUUACUUGUUCCCCUGUGCAUGCUUGGCUUAUCAAACAAGGACAACAUUUGUGACAGUGACAUGACAUCUCUGUAACAUCCCCCCCACCCCCAAUGCCACUUAUUUUGUUUCAUUUACUGAUAUUUUUAAUAAUCAAAUCGUGGAGGAUUUGCACUCUCUCUUCAUGCUCUUGUUGAUGGCUUUGCAAGCUUACAGGUUACAGGACUUAGCUUGUGACCAUAAGGCUGCCAGUGCAAACCCCCAGAGAGAUUUGUGAUUGGUGGCAGGAAGACUAAUGCUUUCAUCUCACCAUUGUUGUGGUGGCCUCAAGCUAGGCACUAAAUUCCCCAAAGCCUCAGUGAAGCUGCUCAGCAGUAACCGCAGAGUAUUAGUGGAGGAACCACUGACGUCGGGAAAAAUAUAAGAAAUUCUCUAUAAAGACACUAUCUGUCUUUCUAGCACUAAAAUUAGACAAGGAUACUUCCAGUCUUGAAAACCCUCUGAACACAAGCCUGGGUAUCGAACACAAACCACAGAGGACUGCCACUCAUUGAACAGGUGCAACCCAUUUGUCUUCAUCCCAGCCAGUGUGGCCUGGAGUCCCCAGUUGACUCUCCAUCAUCUUAAAUCCCUGGUGAUAGCAACUACUUCAAAAAUUUAUGGUUCCUCACACCUCAAAGGAUUUAUUUCAUCCACAAUAUGGCCACAACCGAGUAGUGCAUUGCAUUGCGUGUUCAGUUCUUGCUUCCUGACUGUGUUGCUUGCAACUGAUGUCAAGUUGAACUGCAUGAAGCGAUAUGUUGGGUUAUAACAAACUGUCAGAGAAGCUACAGUGCAUUUUAGCUGUGAUUUAACUGCUAAAUUCUGUCACCUUGGUGACAGUUGGUUGCCUGAUAUGGCGGUCAGCCAAUGAACCAGGGCUCUAGCUCUGGUUAAUACUCUUGCAAUAAUGCGUUAAUCCCCCACUACCUGGAUCUAAACAUGUUAACAGGCAUGGAUGACAAACAGCAUCUCAUAGUGUGGUGAAGUUUGGCAGUAAGAGUUUUCUGGGCAGUGUCUGGUGAAACUAGCAUGAAGCUUCUUCACUGGAGCGUUGCGUAAAUGUUACUGGUGUAUAGAUGCUAAUGCUUGCUCUGCUAACAUUUGCCCCACUCAGUAAACUCAAAAAAGUCUUCUACAGGUGUUGAAUGUUGAUUUACACGAAUUUCAUCAUCGUCUAUAAAGCGGUCAUUGCAUGCACUCAUUUAAUGUUUUGUUUUUCUGCAAAUUAUUUUAGGGGGAUGAUUUUGUGUUUACCAAUACUGACACUAUGCUGAUAAUAUCGUGCAUACCUAGUUUGCAGCAUAGCAGCUAAAUGCAGCUUUAACCUCCAGUUGACUGUUUCUUAAAGUCUAAAGGGCCGUACUUGGUUAAUAUUCCACGCUUCUGGAAAUGUGACCUCUGGGUCUUUCUGUCUUUGAUUUGUCUGCGCACUGUUACUCAGACCAAGACUUGCAUUCUAGUUUCAUCCUUGCAGUGGCUACAGUGGUAGGAGGCAUUGGUAUGAUUAGGCAAGCGUCCUUGCAGAUGGAAAAUAUUGGAAAAAGGUGAUCACUCAGUACCUCAAUGUUUUGAUUUGUGGCGACCUGGUCUCUGCGAGGGAACAAAAUGGAACAAAAGCUGCUGCCAACAAACUGCUCACAUAAAGCAAAUCUGAAGAGUAAGCAACCAAAUUUAGGAGAUUUAUUUGGCUGUUCUGACAUAAAAAGAAUUGUAAAACAUAAAACCAACAAGAUCCAGCCAGUGGUUCUACAAAAUUGCCUCUACACCAUUUUAUUUCUAUUAUUUACCUAUUCAGGAGCACAAAAAGCUGGAGUAGGUGUGUGAAUUUCCUUUUGUUGAAAGGAUGGGGAGGUUUGGUGCUUUGGCAGAACAAUGAGACAAAAUUAGAGCCUAAAUGUUUCUGUAGGAAAUAUUCCUUCAAGAUAUUGAUGCAACAGAAGCUACGAUGCACCGCAUUCAAAAUUAGAUUUGGUGUUUAUUCCCUCAGGAUGUUGAAAUACAGCUUGAGAUGCUACUGCCAACACACUCACUGCAACUGUAACUCCAGCUCUGCAUGUGAGGGUGGAAUUUACGAGCUGUGAUGAAGAAGAUGAUGUGGGAUGAUGGUGCUGGGGGAUGAAAAAGAAUUCCUCAUUUCAGCCAAGGCCAAUGUUGUUUUUCAUCUGAAAGAACUGUGAAGCUGUCUGCGAGAGUGGGCCAAAUUUCAUAUUUAAACCUUAGUUUUCUGUCAGCUUCAGCGCUUUAUUGGCUAUAUUUGUAGGUGUUAAGAUACAAGAUUUCAGAGCCAUUUCAAUUCUUGUGUCCUUUAUAUUUGUGUUUUGCUUUUACUGCAAGCAGCUUCUGCUACUUUGCAAAAAAUGCAGUUACCUGCAAAAAUGGAUCAAGUUGUUUCAUUUCUUUUACAGUAAAAGGACAGUUUAAAGACUUGAAAGACUAUUUUCAUUUGUGUGAACACUGUAGAGUGGUUUUUACUCCAUUUCAUCUUGGCAUACUGCAUGCACUCAAGGUUUAGUAAUGUGCAGUGCUCCUGUUUUGUUAACAGAAAUAAUAGCUCCCUGCCAGUACCCACCAAAUUAUUUACAUUACAUCUGUAGGGUUCUGCCU